GCAUCGAUGGUUUAGUGGUAAAAUCCGGUCUUCCCAUAGAGUUUGGCCGGGCCCCGGGUUCGAUUCCCGGUCGUUGCA